GUAGUAUCGUUAAUGACACAAACAAUUAAAAUAAUCAAUAUAGAGAGCAGUUGAUUCAAAAUCAACCGCCUUCGGGUGUGCCGGUUCGAGUCCGGCCCUAGGCACCA
rnacentral:tRNA from 1 species